rnacentral:tRNA from 1 species
UGCCCCAAUGCGGGAAUCGAACCCGGGUCGUAGCGGUCGAAAACCAACGGUUUAGACCAGUGAUUCUCAACCACUGUGCC